GAACAGAGCACCUGCCCCAUUGUGCGAGAGUGGAGAAAGCCCAGAAUCUGUUGGCGAUGGCUCAGCUUCAACACUUGUCUCUGUUGCCUUCCACCUGCAUUUUCUUGGGCGAGUCCCACAGUCUCUCUGAGCAUCCCCAAUUUCCAUAUCUGUAGAGAGGGGGAGUCCCAUGUCCACGAGUCUUCAGCCAACAGCCCCUGGGAGAAGGCUCACACCCAAGACUUCGCCCAUGCGUUGCAGGCCACCACUCCGCUCCAUCCACGCCUGCAGAUCUGUGCUGCUCAGGUUUUUCUCACAGCCUGUCUCUCCCCAGAACUCUGGCACUGAGACCAGAUGGGGCUGGGCUCACUGAGAUAGCCAAGUGACAUCACCACACUGGACCCAGCAUCAUCCUGCCCUUCCCACAAUAAAUGCUUUGGUAUCAG